GUCAAUACUAAAACUUAAUUAAAAAUGAAAUGUUUUUGUUGUUUAAAUCUUAAAAGAUUUCAUUGACUAAUAAUUUCAUUAUCACCUGGAUCUUUCACAGUAACCAAGGGAAAAUUAACAUAAAGAUACAAAGUUUUAUGCACUAGAUGCGCAUGUCGACUAUAAAUGUUACUGCAAUGAUGCUCGAGGCCUAUAUUCCAAGAUCUCCUUUAAAGUUAAUUUCAAAAUAAUAAAAAUCAAAUUUGAACUGUUUUUUCACUGUCAUUCACACAUUUAGGUAAUAAUAAAAAGUAUGGUGAAGUAAUACGUCACUUAUCAAACGGAAAUAACAAAAAUUUAAAAUCUUAAGGUAAAAAAGUCUUAAUUGCUCGUCCUUGGCAAAUGUCAAAAUGAUCGAAAUAUGAUGUAAUUUUUUAAGGAAAAC
rnacentral:lncRNA from 1 species